CCUACGGGUGGCAGCAGUAGGGAAUUUUCGGCAAUGGGGGGAACCCUGACCGAGCAACGCCGCGUGAACGAAGAAGUUAUUCGUAAUGUAAAGUUCUUUUAACAGGGAAGAAAGAGAACUUUGACGGUACCUGAAGAAUAAGCUCCGACUAACUACGUGCCAGCAGCCGCGGUAAUACGUAGGGAGCGUGCGUUAUCCGGAAUUAUUGGGCGUAAAGGGUGCGUAGAUGGCAUAGUAAGUCUGUGGUAAAAAUGCGGGGCUCAACCCAGUAGGGCAAAAGAUACUGAAGAGCUAGAGUAUGACAGAGGCAAGUGGAACGACAGGUGUAGCGGUAAAAUGCGUAAAUAUAUGUAAGAACACCAGUGGCGAAGGCGGCUUGCCGGGUCGAUACUGACAUUGAGGCACGAAAGCGUGGGGAGCGAACAGGAUUAGAUACCCGUGUAGUC
rnacentral:rRNA from 1 species